rfam:Schistosoma haematobium scaffold1446_4, whole genome shotgun sequence.
AUCCAGCUGACGAGUACCAAGCAGGACGAAGCGCGCGUCUUGGGU